CUCUCCGGCCCGCCUCCCCCGUGGGGCGGCCCUGCGCGCCACCCGAGACGUCACUUCCGUCUGCGUCGGCGCGCUGAUAGGUUCUCCUGGCAGUGUGGCUUGCAGCGGUAUCGAACGCCAUUCUUUUCCUACACGUCCCACCACCUCUGAAGAACUAGACAUGGAUAAGCCAAAUCCAGUCAGAUCAAUGAUCUCCAUGUGCCUGCUUUGAACAGCACAAUGAGACUAGAGCCAGAAGCUCACUUUAAAAUUAGCUAUGAAGAACAGAACAUUUGAAGGUUUUGAUAUGAAGAACUGGACAGUUUUAAAUGACCCAAAAUAAGAUUUCUGAGGAAACAGCUAGUGAAUCAGUCUGUGAAGUUGGAGCUCCUGGGUCACUUGUCUUGACUUCAUUGGUGUCUGGUCAUUUUGCUCUGUCAACAUAUAAACCUUUAAAGGUAAUAUAUAUUUUUACAUUAAAAUAUGUAUGGAAUCUGAAGUGUGCACAAACCAGCUAAAGAUGAUUCUCUGUUCUUUGUUUGAAU